rnacentral:miRNA from 1 species
AUGUAUGUAUAUGUGUGUGUGUGUGUGUGUGUGUGUGUGUGUAUAAUACAUACGCACACACACACACACACAUAUAUAUAAUUUUUUUA